rnacentral:tRNA from 1 species
UGGGUUCAUAGUUCAGCAUGGAUAGAAUGACUGCCUGCGGAGCAGCUGGUCGAGGGUUCAAAUCCCUCUGGACCCGA